rnacentral:rRNA from 1 species
CCUACGGGGGGCAUCAGUGAGGAAUAUUGGUCAAUGGACGAGAGUCUGAACCAGCCAAGUAGCGUGAAGGAUGACGGCCCUAUGGGUUGUAAACUUCUUUUAUAUGGGAAUAAAAUGUUCCACGUGUGGGAUUUUGUAUGUACCAUAUGAAUAAGGACCGGCUAACUCCAUGCCAGCAGCCGCGGUAAUACGGAGGAUCCGAGCGUUAUCCGGAUUUAUUGGGUUUAAAGGGAGCGUAGGUGGAUUGUUAAGUCUGUUGUGAAAGUCCGCGGCUCAACCGUAAAAUUGCAGUUGAAACUGGCAGUCUUGAGUGCGGUAGAGGUGGGCGGAAUUCGUGGUGUAGCGGUGAAAUGCUUAGAUAUCACGAAGAACUCCGAUUGCGAAGGCAGCACACUGGACUGCAACUGACGCUGAGGCUCGAAAGUGUGGGUAUCGAACAGGAUUAGAUACCCCUGUAGUC